rfam:Endosymbiont of Loripes lucinalis isolate G_E NODE_2_length_1203156_cov_62.8627_ID_3, whole genome shotgun sequence.
GCCGAUGUGGUGGAAUUGGUAGACACGCUAUCUUGAGGGGGUAGUGGCGUAAGCCGUGCCGGUUCAAAUCCGGCCAUCGGCA